UACAGAGGAGCCAAGCGUUGUCCGGAUUGACUGGGCGUAAAGCGCACGCAGGCGGUUUUGCGCGUGGGGUGUGAAAUCUGGCCGCUUAACGGCCAGGCGCCAUCCCAUACGGCACGACUGGAGGGCUGCAGAGGUCGAUGGAAUUGCCGGUGUAGUGGUGAAAUUCGUAGAUAUCGGGAGGAACACCAGAGGCGAAGGCGGCCACCUGGACAGACACUGACGCUGAGACGCGAAAGCGUGGGGAGCAAACAGG
rnacentral:rRNA from 1 species